UUUGCACAACUAGCAAAAUGGCGAUGCUUGUAAACAAAAAAAGUGAAAUAAGGUGAUUUGUUACUUGAAACUGUUUUGUUUUAAUUAUUUUCUAGCAGUUAGGGUAUAGUGUUAAGAUUAAAUAAAUAAGUUAGUGUGUAAGAAGUUAAUACAGACUUUAAAAAUUGUCUUUAUUGACUAUAUCGUUGUUACAUUUGUGAAGAAUUUGCUUAUGGGUGUGUAAGUUUUGAAGAAAAGACUUUAUAUACUUAUUUUAAAGCAUUCGACACAGAUACUGAGACUUUUGGAGGAUUACUUUAAACCGAUGAUACUUUUAUCAUAUAUAUUUCAAAAAUAGAAGAUUUUUCCAAGAUAAUUUUGAUAAUAUUUUAAUUGAAAAACGAGUUAUUCAUAGAUAUACACAGCUAUUGAAAGAGUGCCAGUUUAAUCAUCCAUAAGGGAAAAAGGAAAUUUCGAAACAAAAUAAUAAAUUCUUCGCGAAUAAAACAAAAGAAUUUGUAGAAUUUAGCCCGAAAUAUGUAGAGGUGCUGUCAACAGUUAAUGAUUAUUUUGAGGAGCUUGAUGAAUAUUAUAAAAAUGUUAUCGAACUCAUUGAACGUCGAUGGGAAACGUGUAUGGAGCUAAAAGUAGAUUAAAUUGAAAAAUAAAUAUAUUAUUUACGAAAA